UACGUAGGGGGCAAGCGUUACUCGGAAUCACUAGGCGUAAAGCGCAGGUAGGAGGUUUGGUAAGUCUCUUGUGAAAGCUCCCGGCUUAACUGGGAGAGGUCAAGGGAAACUACUAGGCUAGAGUGCGGUAGAGGAAGGUGGAAUUCCCGGUGUAGCGGUGAAAUGCGUAGAUACCGGGAGGAAUACCUAUGGCGAAAGCAGCCUUCUGGACCGUCACUGACUCUGAUCUGCGAAAGCUAGGGGAGCAAACAGG
rnacentral:rRNA from 1 species